AUUGAACGCUGGCGGCAUGCUUUACACAUGCAAGUCGGGCGGCAGCACAGAGAAGCUUGCUUCUUGGGUGGCGAGUGGCGAACGGGUGAGUAAUAUAUCGGAACGUACCGAGUAAUGGGGGAUAACUAAUCGAAAGAUUAGCUAAUACCGCAUAUUCUCUGAGGAGGAAAGCAGGGGACCUUCGGGCCUUGCGUUAUUCGAGCGGCCGAUAUCUGAUUAGCUAGUUGGUGGGGUAAAGGCCUACCAAGGCGACGAUCAGUAGCGGGUCUGAGAGGAUGAUCCGCCACACUGGGACUGAGACACGGCCCAGACUCCUACGGGAGGCAGCAGUGGGGAAUUUUGGACAAUGGGCGCAAGCCUGAUCCAGCCAUGCCGCGUGUCUGAAGAAGGCCUUCGGGUUGUAAAGGACUUUUGUCAGGGAAGAAAAGGCUGUUGCUAAUACCGACAGCUGAUGACGGUACCUGAAGAAUAAGCACCGGCUAACUACGUG
rnacentral:rRNA from 1 species